rnacentral:rRNA from 1 species
UGGGGAAUUUUGGACAAUGGGCGAAAGCCUGAUCCAGCAAUGCCGCGUGAGUGAAGAAGGCCUUCGGGUUGUAAAGCUCUUUUGUCAGGGAAGAAACAGUGAGAGCUAAUAUCUCUUGCUAAUGACGGUACCUGAAGAAUAAGCACCGGCUAACUACGUGCCAGCAGCCGCGGUAAUACGUAGGGUGCAAGCGUUAAUCGGAAUUACUGGGCGUAAAGCGUGCGCAGGCGGUUUUGUAAGUCUGAUGUGAAAUCCCCGGGCUCAACCUGGGAAUUGCAUUGGAGACUGCAAGGCUAGAAUCUGGCAGAGGGGGGUAGAAUUCCACGUGUAGCAGUGAAAUGCGUAGAUAUGUGGAGGAACACCGAUGGCGAAGGCAGCCCCCUGGGUCAAGAUUGACGCUCAUGCACGAAAGCGUGGGGAGCAAACAGGAUUAGAUACCCACGUAGUCCCUGAGCGGGCUGGCAAGGCGCAU